rnacentral:tRNA from 1 species
GGGGAUAUAACUCAGUGGUAGAGUACUGGCCUAGUAUGUUUGAGACCCUGGGAUCAAAUUCCCAGUACCA